GCAGUAAGGAAUAUUGGUCAAUGGAGGCAACUCUGAACCAGCCAUGCCGCGUGCAGGAAGACAGCCCUCUGGGUCGUAAACUGCUUUUAUUCGGGAAUAAACCUACUUACGUGUAAGUAGCUGAAUGUACCGAAGGAAUAAGGAUCGGCUAACUCCGUGCCAGCAGCCGCGGUAAUACGGAGGAUCCAAGCGUUAUCCGGAUUUAUUGGGUUUAAAGGGUGCGUAGGCGGCUUUUUAAGUCAGGGGUGAAAGACGGUGGCUCAACCAUCGCAGUGCCCUUGAUACUGAAGAGCUUGAAUACAUUAGAGGUAGGCGGAAUGUGACAAGUAGCGGUGAAAUGCAUAGAUAUGUCACAGAACACCGAUUGCGAAGGCAGCUUACUAUGAUGAGAUUGACGCUGAGGCACGAAAGCGUGGGGAUCAAACAGGAUUAGA
rnacentral:rRNA from 1 species